rnacentral:tRNA from 1 species
AGCCUACUAGCUCAAUUGGUAGAGCAUUAAAAGAUGUGGGUUCGAAUCCCACGUAGGCUC